rnacentral:rRNA from 1 species
UACGGGGGGGGCAAGCGUUAUUCGGAAUUAUUGGGCGUAAAGGGCGCGUAGGCGGCUUUUCAAGUGACGGGUGAAAUCCCUCGGCUUAACCGAGGAACUGCCUGUCAGACUGGAAGGCUUGAGACCGGGAGAGGUGAGUGGAAUUCCCAGUGUAGCGGUGAAAUGCGUAGAUAUUGGGAGGAACACCAGUGGCGAAGGCGGCUCACUGGACCGGAACUGACGCUGAGGCGCGAAAGCGUGGGGAGCAAACAGG